GCAUAUCAAUAAGCGGAGGAAAAGAAACCAACAGGGAUUGCCUCAGUAACGGCGAGUGAAGCGGCAAGAGCUCAAAUUUGAAAGCUGGCUCCUUCGGGGUCCGCAUUGUAAUUUGCAGAGGAUGCUUCGGGAGUGGCCCCCAUCUAAGUGCCCUGGAACGGGCCGUCAUAGAGGGUGAGAAUCCCGUCUGGGAUGGGGUGUCCACGCCCGUGUGAAGCUCCUUCGACGAGUCGAGUUGUUUGGGAAUGCAGCUCUAAAUGGGUGGUAAAUUUCAUCUAAAGCUAAAUACUGGCCGGAGACCGAUAGCGCACAAGUAGAGUGAUCGAAAGAUGAAAAGCACUUUGAAAANAGAGUUAAACAGCACGUGAAAUUGUUGAAAGGGAAGCGCUUGCGACCAGACUCGCCCACGGGGUUCAGCCGGCAUUCGUGCCGGUGUACUUCCCCGCGGGCGGGCCAGCGUCGGUUUGGGGCGGCCGGUCAAAGGCCCUCGGAAUGUAACGCCCCCCGGGGCGUCUUAUAGCCGAGGGUGCCAUGCGGCCAGCCCGGACCGAGGAACGCGCUUCGGCUCGGACGCUGGCAUAAUGGUCGUAAGCGACCCGUCUUGAAACACGGACCAAGGAGUCUAACAUCUACGCGAGUGUUCCGGGUGUCAAACCCGUGCGCGCAGUGAAAGCGAACGGAGGUGGGAACCCCUCGGGGUGCACCAUCGACCGAUCCUGAUGUCUUCGGAUGGAUUUGAGUAAGAGCGUAGCUGUUGGGACCCGAAAGAUGGUGAACUAUGCCUGAAUAGGGCGAAGCCAGAGG
rnacentral:rRNA from 1 species